UAGAACGGCGAGUGAAGCGGCAMCAGCUCAAAUUUGAAAUCUGGCUCCUUUGGGGUCCGAGUUGUAAUUUGCAGAGGGCGCUUUGGCGUUGGCGGCGGUCUAAGUUCCUUGGAACAGGACAUCGCAGAGGGUGAGAAUCCCGUAUGUGGUCGCCUGCCUUCGCCGUGUAAAGCCCCUUCGACGAGUCGAGUUGUUUGGGAAUGCAGCUCUAAAUGGGAGGUAAAUUUCUUCUAAAGCUAAAUACCGGCCAGAGACCGAUAGCGCACAAGUAGAGUGAUCGAAAGAUGAAAAGCACUUUGGAAAGAGAGUCAAACAGCACGUGAAAUUGUUAAAAGGGAAGCGCUUGCAGCCAGACUUGCCUGUAGUUGCUCACCCGGGCUACUGCCCGGGGCACUCUUCUGCAGGCAGGCCAGCAUCAGUUUGGGCGGUCGGAUAAAGGCCUCUGACACGUACUUCCCUUCGGGGUUGACAUAUAGGGGGGGCGCAAUGCGACCAGCCCGGACUGAGGUCCGCGCAUCUGCCAGGAUGCUGGCGUAAUGGCUGUAAGCGGCCCGUCUUGAAACACGGACCAAGGAGUCUAACAUCUAUGCGAGUGUUUGGGUGUCAAGCCCGAGCGCGUAAUGAAAGUGAACGGAGGUGGGAACCCCUCGGGGCGCACCAUCGACCGAUCCUGAUGUCUUCGGAUGGAUUUGAGUAAGAGCAUAGCUGUUGGGACCCGAAAGAUGGUGAACUAUGCUUGAAUAGGGUGAAGCCAGAGGAAACUCUGGUGGAGGCUCGCAGCGGUUCUGACGUGCAAAUCG
rnacentral:rRNA from 1 species